rnacentral:lncRNA from 1 species
UACGGUGGCGGGCCGGCCAAUGCGACUGGAUGAUGUUUCCGACUAGCUCCGGUGGGCAGGGUAUGCACAGAUAAAGGUUAAGAUCGACGCCCUCGGUCCAUGGCUUAGAUUAAAUCAACAGCACAAAUAUUAUAGCCCGAUUUGGGUUCUAAGCGGGUUGCGCUAAUAUGGCCAUGUGUAGGUAUCUUUCAUGUGCUUUUUAGAGAAUCGCCCAUUUUCAUAAUCGCGGCCUCACGACUGCAUAUAUAGGUGAGUCCUAAUAAGGAAACUAGCAAGAAAACUCUUGCCUCUUGGGUCUUGGACUCAUUAAGAGUUAUACAAACAAAUUCAUCCUACCGCUUACUUUUAUGAGCACUAGCGCUAUAGGGAUGAGAAAAACAUAAAAUAGUGCUUCUCUUAGUCACACUCCAGUUUGUUUCUACCCAUUGAACCUUUUAAGGUUGGGUUCCCACCGUGGUGAUCUAUCUUUAUGGGCUAAGCCUCAUCCCCCUCGACGAUACUAGAACUACUGUUUUAGACAAACUUUUUGUAAGCUGAUCAGCCAAAUUAUUUUCUGAUUUUGCAAAAUUUAAAGCAAUAACGUUAUUUUUCAAUUUGUAUCUUAAUGAUUUAUGACGCAUUUUUUAAGUGUCUUUUCAUUUUUAUAUUGGCAUUUUCUUGGUUGCACUUAUCUAUUACAGAUUUACAGUCACAAUGUAAGAAGACAGGUUGUGAGGAUCCGUACGGGCGUGUGUUUAGUCCCACAUC